CUGAAUUAUAUGAGUAAGUCAGACCUUCCAAGAACAUUGAGUUGCCAACUCUGUUGAGAUGGAAAGAUUGCCUGAGCUGUGGAUCCACCUUGCAGAAUGCUGUCCAUUGCAUCAGUCCCUGAGCUAAGCAGGUCCUCGAAUGGGCUGCAGAGCAGAGCUCCAUGCUGGAAGUUAGGGGCAUGAGUGGUAGCACCUUGUCAAGUUGGUGCCAAAGAAGAAUUAGGCGUUUAGCGGGACAAGUGACGGCUUUGCCUGUCGACAGCGUGAUCUGACUUAAAGAGGGCGAUUUUAAAGUGACACAGUACCGAAGCAUGGCCAUGUGAGCAGUGCAAUAACUAGAUGCUUUCAAAGAGAGUCUUCAGACCAGCAAACCUGCAAGGUUUUCU